rnacentral:rRNA from 1 species
AUUGAACGCUGGCGGCAGGCCUAACACAUGCAAGUCGAGCGGAUGACGGGAGCUUGCUCCUUGAUUCAGCGGCGGACGGGUGAGUAAUGCCUAGGAAUCUGCCUGGUAGUGGGGGACAACGCUUCGAAAGGAACGCUAAUACCGCAUACGUCCUACGGGAGAAAGCAGGGGACCUUCGGGCCUUGCGCUAUCAGAUGAGCCUAGGUCGGAUUAGCUAGUUGGUGUGGUAAUGGCUCACCAAGGCGACGAUCCGUAACUGGUCUGAGAGGAUGAUCAGUCACACUGGAACUGAGACACGGUCCAGACUCCUACGGGAGGCAGCAGUGGGGAAUAUUGGACAAUGGGCGAAAGCCUGAUCCAGCCAUGCCGCGUGUGUGAAGAAGGUCUUCGGAUUGUAAAGCACUUUAAGUUGGGGGGAAGGGCAGUAAGUUAAUACCUUGCUGUUUUGACGUUACCGACAGAAUAAGCACCGGCUAACUCUGUGCCAGCCGCCGCCGUAA